GCCAGCCCAGUGUUCAGACUACCUGUUCAGGAGGUGCCGAAUGCGUACAGUAGUCUGCACAUUGGUUAGGC
rnacentral:pre_miRNA from 1 species